rnacentral:sRNA from 1 species
CCCUGACAGUAGAGUUAGACCUACCAGAGAAAUCUUAGAGUUUCCCGCAAGGGAUGUUUAUGUUCCAAACACUACUUACAGCAACGAGGAACUGUUUUCU